rnacentral:lncRNA from 1 species
UUUUGUAUAUAUAUAUAUAUAUAUAUAUGAACUAGACUGGAAUGCUAUCAAUAGCACAAAGCUGUUGGUACUAUUAGGUUUUCGGCCCUUGGAUGAAAAAAUGAACGAUUAGAAUGAUAUGGGCUUCCUAGAGUUGAGUGAGUUAUUGGUUGAAUAGUAUAAUCUAACGGAUGAAAAUAAUUAAUGGGUUAAAUCUAAUGGCGGAAAACUCGGUAGCAUCAAGUGGUUGGUGCUAUCUAUAGUAUCCCAGCCGGACUCAUAUAUAUAAAACUAGGUUGGAAUACUAUCAAUAGCACCAAGCUAUUUGUGCUAUUAGUUUUUUAACCCUUGAAAUGAGAAAUGUGUGGUUAGGAUAAUGUGGGUCCCAUAGGGCUAAGUGAGUAGUUGGUUGAAUAGUAUAAUCUAACGGGUAAAAAUAAUCAAAGGGUUAAAUCUAACGGUGGAAAACUCGACAGCACCAAAUCCUUGGUACUAUCGAUAGUAUUCCAGCCGGGCUCCAUAUGAGUUGAGCUAGAAUACUUUCAAAAGCACCAAAAGAGUGAUGCUUUUGAGUUUUUAGGCCAUUGGAUGGGGAGAUGUAGAGUUGAGAUGAUGGUGGUAGGUGGUGGUGGGUAGAAUAGUGUUUGAUCUAAGGGGUAUUAGUAAUUAAGGAAUAGAUCCAAGAGUUAGAAACUUAGAAGCACCAAGGGGUUGGUGCUUCUAAAAGUAUUCUACCAAGUUGUUUUUUAUGAUGCGGCUUCCAAAUCGAUGAUCGACUUCAUUAGACUUGAUCUACACUAUUAAAAGUAUUUGAAAACUAAAUUUCAUAAUUUUUCGGCAUCAUUUACCUAUCAAACGAGUAGUCUAAAAAUGAACGGGUGAAAAUAAAAAUCUCAUAAAAAAUGAUGAUAAAAGACUUGAAUUUAAGAUCAGAGAUACUAAUCUUACUCUAAAUAGUGAAAAGAAGUUUCUACAAAAAUUUCAUCAGAUUUGGAUGAUUUUACACGGUUAAAUUCACAAGCGCAUCACAUCCACCAUUAAAAUUGUCAAUUUUGAAACCUUUUGUUCGCUAGGCAAAUGAUGUCGAAAAAUUAUGAAAUUUAGUUUUCAAGUAUUUUUAAUAGUGUAGAUUAAGUCUAACGGAGCUGAUCGUCGAUUUAGAAGUCGCAUAAUUGAAAACAAUUUGGUAGCGCGGAGGCCUCCGUACUACUAAUAGUAUACCAGCCUAGCGCG